rnacentral:rRNA from 1 species
CGGGGUGCACCAGGCGCGAAAACUUUACAAUGCUGGAAACAGCGAUAAGGGGACCUCGAGUGCCAGGUUACAAAUCUGGCUGUCGUGAUGCCUAAAAAGCAUUGCAUAGCAAGGGCCGGGCAAGACCGGUGCCAGCCGCCGCGGUAACACCGGCGGCUCGAGUGGUAACCGUUAUUAUUGGGUCUAAAGGGUCUGUAGCCGGCCGGAUAAGUCUCUUGGGAAAUCCAGCAGCUCAACUGUUGGGCUUUCAGGAGAUACUGUCUGGCUCGAGGCCGGGAGAGGUGAGAGGUACUUCAGGGGUAGGGGUGAAAUCUUGUAAUCCUUGAAGGACCACCAGUGGCGAAGGCGUCUCACCAGAACGGACCUGACGGCAAGGGACGAAAGCUAGGGGCACGAACCGGAUUAGAUACCCGGGUAGUCCUAGCCGUAAACGAUACUCGCUAGGUGUCGGCCACGGUGCGACCGUUGUCGGUGCCGUAGGGAGGCCGUGAAGCGAGCCACCUGGGAAGUACGGCCGCAAGGCUGAAACUUAAAGGAAUUGGCGGGGGAGCACAAGGGCGAAUCGCGG